rnacentral:tRNA from 1 species
CGUAGCUUCUUUCAAUGGCAGGAAAUCCGCCUGAUAUGCGGGUAACGAUAGUUCGAUUCUAUCAGCUACGACCA